rnacentral:lncRNA from 1 species
AACUCGGGUCCCCACGCUUGUGUGGCAAGCACUUUGCCCGAGGAACCAUCUCCCAACCCUCUCUUCUCUUUUUCUUUCUUCAUUCUUCUUGAAUGAAGCAGAUCCACAGGCUCGUUUUUUUUUUUUUUUCAGAUGUCAAAAGAAGUCAAAAAAACUUCAAAAUUGGCCCAAAAUAAAAAGAGCAUAUUCGUCAAAUCAAAAGAAACCACAAAAGACACCGAUUCAAGUGAAUCUUAGGCUCUGUGAAGCACAGGAAGAAGACACUGAUGUCAGGAAUUGCCUUAUGCAGAUAAAGUGCUUUGAAAUUUUGUUCCAGACCUUGAGUGAAGUUUCUGUCUGCCUCUGGAGUAUAUUGCUCUCACCGAUGAAUAGGACGCUAUGAACUUGCCCUUUAAUUGGCUGGUCAAAAAAGUAGGCAGCACAUUCACUCAUGGAGUGGAUGACGUACAGAGAGGGACUCCAGACAAGCAUGCAUAGGCAGAAACCUUGCCGAGCAGAAGAUGCUGCCUUAAGUUAGAGGUCAGGCUCAGGAAGGAGUCAAAGAGCCCAUUGUGCUGCUGAGAAUUACCCACAGCCAAAUGCAUGCUGAGCCUUGCUUCCUGCACGGCGGAUACUGCUUACAGUCCCGUGAUUUUAAAAAAUAACUCUUUCUUCGUACAUCAGAGAUUACCACAAGUCACAGACCUUGUGAGCCAACCCGAACCUGGCUGGUGUCAGAGACUGACCAUCUAUUAUCCAAGAGCUGUCUCCUCCUCCUCCCAGGAAGGAUUUAGGAACUGCAGGCUGUACCAUUGACAAAGCUUCCCCCCAAGAUGAUGAAGCUGUAAUGCAAAUACAUGAGAUUCCCGCCAGAGGAACCUGAAGGAGGGCGAUGAAGUAUCAGAAGAGGACAGGACAAGGGAAGCAACUCACAGCCCUCCAGAACUGUCAAUCAAGGAUUUAGAGGGAUUUAGAAAGACAGUUUUAAAGGGAGCAUCAACCUUUCCUAUCAUGUUUAUAGCAGCCAAACAUAAGAUUUAAAGAUGCUGGCUUUCACAGAAUGACCCAGAAAGAUUAAAUCAGAGCCAACCUCAGAAUUAAGUGUGCCAGAUGCUGCACUGAGCCCUACAAUCAUCUUGUUUAAUCUCUCUGACGUCUGUGAUGGGUACGGUUAUCAUCUCUCCAUGACAGGUGGGGAAACUGAGGCUUUGGCCUUAUGCAACUCUAGGACCAAGCAGAGGGGUGUUGAAUCCACUAUUAGGUGUUACCUCUGAAAUGAAGAAAUGGUAGGUACCAUGAGUGUCCAGUAAAUAUUAAUUAAAGAUCUCUCAUGUUGAUCAGGCCAAAUAAAAGCAUGAUUGGAUUAACAGAGAGCUGGCUCUGAGCUGUUAUGUAACAUGGUGUAUAUUACUUGAUGUAUCUGGGUAACAUUAUCUUCAUCAGAAAGAUUAGAUGUUGUGUGGGUAAAAGGACAUGAGGAAUAAGGCAUACAAUUCAAAUAAGCCAUGCAUUAUGUCUAAACCAGAGUCCCCACUGUCACUCCGAUCCAAGCUCCAGCUGUCUGAAAUUACUUCUCUCCCCUAGAACAAAGGCACAUGGGGACUGGAAAGACACAAUCCUUCCACUCCUCGGUCCCCUGUGGCUUGGCGGAGAAGGGCACUGUUGUAACCAAGAACGGCCCUUCCUCAUAACCACCACUGUGUUCUCACCACAUGAUCUUCUUGGUUCCAGUCAAAAGCCCUGUGCCCACUCCUGACUUGAAAGGACCCACAGAGGAUUUUUCUCUUUGCUUAGCUCUGUGGCUCUUUCCUAGCAGUUGGAAUACAGAAAUAUUUUCCACCCAAAACGACCACAUAAUGACAGGAAAAAGCUGUUAGACUCUGUGCAGAGGGAAACCAUCGUCUCGAGUGUUUUCAGACAUUCCUUUGCUUUAUUUUAAAAGGAAUCCUCUCUGUUUCCUUUAAAGGCAUUAAGGAGAAGUGACCGGUCAGGAUUCACUGGACCAUAGACUUGGUUACUUUUAUAUCCAUUCGUAUCCUGCCCCGCAGGGUUCAUUUCUCUGCUUCACUCAAGAACCAUCUGUCUCAGUCGUACUCAUAGCCCUCAUCUACCCAGACUCUCAAAGUCUGAGAGUCUGUCUCCACGUUCCUCAGGUAGACGUCUUCGACACUCUCCAUAGGAACAAAUCCUAUGUAAAGCCUAAGGUCAUGGUUUCUUCCCCAGAGUUUUUCAUUAAUUAAUUUAUUUAUUCACUUUACAUCCCAAGCCCAGGAUAACAGCCCCUUUCCCUCCUCUCCCCCAGUCCUCCCCUCCCAUUCCCUUUCCCUAUCCCCCCUCCUCUUCUCUUUAGAGAAGGAGAGACUACGCCCCUGGAUACCAACCUGUCCUGGAACAUCAAUUCUCACCAGGACUAAGUGCAUCUUUUUCCCACUGAGGCCAAGCAAGGCAGCCCAGCUAAGAGAAGGGGAUCCAAAGGCAGGCCACAGAGUCAGAGUCAGAGUCAGAGACAGGCCCCGCUCCAAUCAUUGGGGGACUCAUAUGAAGACCAACUCCACAUCUGCUACAUAUGUGUAGGGAUUUCAUGUAUUUUCAUUACUCUGCCUGAGAGCCUGAAUCCAGGGAUCCACCCAACAGAUACUUGGAAAACAUGCUGAAAGUAAGCUUCGAAGUAUCAAGGAAACCAUUCACUAAUAGACUAAGAUGAAAAUAUAUUAUGAUGAAUGUAUUUCUAAUAAAGGCCAUCCUUUC